GGUUCUUGAAAACCGGUGAGAAAAAGAAAUGGGCGGGAUUGGGGAAAAUACUUUUUCCACCGGUUCCUAAUAAACCGGUGCGAUUUACGAAAUAUAAAAAAAAACCGGGCUGCUUUUCUUCUUCUUUCUUUCCAUGUUCAGUACUUUUAAUUUCCCUCUCGUUUUCGCCUUCGUUCUCUAUCCAGAAUCCUGAAUUGCCCUAGCUUUCUCACUCCAUUGAAGCAGCACCUCCGCCUUCUCACUCCAUUGAAGCAGCACCUCCGCCUCCAUUGAAUCGUGCUCUAUAUUCUCCAUUGAAGCCGAAUCUGAGCUUUCUCACCUCCAUUGAAGCUGCUCCUGCAGGAACUCUAAGGGUCUAAUUGUUCUAAUGAAAACUACUGAUAAGGGCCUGAUAAUGAAAGUGAUUACCCAGAUGGGUCUUUUUCCUCUAAUCCCGAUGAAGGGAGGUUCCAAGAUAUAGGAGGCAUAUCUCAUCUUCCAGGAUUUCUCUGAGAAGUAUUCAGUGACUGGAUUGAUCCUGAAUGGCAAGGCUGUCUAUUGUAUGCAUAUGGGAAAUUUUGAUGAAGCAGAAUCACUGUUACUUGAAGCUCUGAACAAGGAGCUUGGACACGUUAAGAUAUAGGAGUGUUGCCUCUAAGUAGUGGAUAGUGGUUCCUCAUUGAGAUGGGAACUGUUGCAAUCGAUGCUGCUCAAUUGGCAAGCGAGCAUCAAUCAGCAAAUAGGAGAGGUCAGAGGAUGAAAGCUACGAUGAAGAGUUUGCUGUCUGCUGUUUGCUGCCUGUUGGUCUGCUGUUCUGCCUGCUGUCUGCUGUUGUGGUUGCGCUGCUGUGUUCAGUGCUGCUUUGCUGACAAGUUGCUGUAUGUUUGUGCUGUUGUUGCACUAUUGUGCUGUUGCUCUGCUGGUUUUGACAGCUCGUGCUGGGUCUGGUGCUGGCUGCCUAGCCGUGGUGUAGCUUUUGGUUGCUGUUUUGCUUGUAGCUGCUGCUGGGGUUGCUGGUCGUGGUGUGGCUGUGCUGUCUCAUUCUCUGUUGCAGGCUUGGGGUCAGUGGGAGCUGCUGCAGUCUGCUGUUUUUUUUGUCUUAGUUUUUAUUCUAUUUAUCAAAGAUGUAGUGCUCUUUAAUGGAUGUAUGACACAAAUAUUGAAGAAAAUAUAUGUGUUUUAUGUAUAUUAUGAUUA